rnacentral:rRNA from 1 species
GCCUAAUACAUGCAAGUCGAGCGGAGAUGUUGGAGCUUGCUCCAACAUCUUAGCGGCGGACGGUGAGUAACACGUGGGCAACCUGCCCUGCAGAUCGGGAUAACUCCGGGAAACCGGUGCUAAUACCGAAUAGUUUGCGGCCUCUCCUGAGGCUGCACGGAAAGACGGUUUCGGCUGUCACUGCAGGAUGGGCCCGCGGCGCAUUAGCUAGUUGGUGGGGUAAUGGCCCACCAAGGCGACGAUGCGUAGCCGACCUGAGAGGGUGAUCGGCCACACUGGGACUGAGACGUCGACGCGGCCCAGACUCCUACGGGAGGCAGCAGUAGGGAAUCUUCGGCAAUGGACGGAAGUCUGACCGAGC